CUAGCUAAAACUAACUAAAAGCAAAACAAAGGGAAAAAAGGAGCUCUGUCCAGCUGUCUGUCCAUCCGCAGACAACACAGUCCAGGAGCAGGAAUGUGGAGGAGUGAGAGCAGUCUGAAAACAAACUGCGCGCUUCUUCCCUCCCCUCUUCACUGUCUGGAAGAGAGUCUUAAAGGUCUGAAACUUAUUAUUCAGUAUAAACAGAACAAGACGAUUGGGGAUAAAAGCAUCAUAUAGUCAACCCAGGAUAUUAUCCUCCCACAGCAAUUAAUAAGCAUUACUAAAAAAGGCAGCUGUCCACGAGUCUUCUGUAAAUGUACUCUAAACUCUCUGUGAUAGAAAGUAAAAAUGUUUAUAAAUUCCUCAUGGAUUAAUCACUUCAACAGUUAAUUGUUGAAGGUCUACAAUGUCUCAGCUGAAUUGCAAAUUACUUGAAUUAUACUAAUAUAUGGAUAAUUCUAUUUGUACUUGUGUGACCUAUUAGAUAUAUUAAUUUGGGGAAUUAAAUAUCUUUAUUCACCUAAAUCUGCUAAAAAAUGGGAAAAUACACCAAAAGUAGCCCAUUUAUUUUUCUGUGUUUUAAAAAUUAUGACAUUAAACUGGUAUAUAUAGACUGUGAAUUGCUCAGGAAGAGGUUCUGGCCAGAAGACAAGUCCUCCUGACACAUAUUUGCCUGCUUGUGCUCUGCCAUUUCUCUGUGUCCUCUCCACCUGACUGCACUGGACAGAUGUCUUGGUGGGCCUGAAUGAUUAUUUUAGGAAGGAAUGAAAAACCUUGGACUUUUGAAGAUGUGAACCAGUACAAAGAGUACAAUUUUGGAUUCUUCUGUUCAAAAAGCCAUUUGAAAGUAUUCUGCUGAACCCCAGCUUUCUGUCCAGAAAGGGAAAAGAAAUCUCAAGUGAAGUUUUCUCACUCUGACUUCCCUUUCAGACACUGCAGAUAACCUAUAGAAAUUACACUGUGAACUGUAUUCCCAGAUUUGAAAUGUAGCUAUCUAUCUAAAAGACUACGAAAUUAGUCUUUGCCUCAACUUCAGCAUCUUGAAGAAUUUUCUUAAAUUUUAUGCUUACUUUCCCUCUGACUUCUGUAAACAUUUUAUGGAAUUUUGAUAGUCAUAUUAUCUGGGAGUACUCAAGAUA